rnacentral:lncRNA from 1 species
GGGAAGGGAAUGCUGAAGCUGCUGGUGGCCUCAUGUUUUUCUCCCUCUUUCCUUUCAGCUCUGCUUAUUCACUGCCCAGCACAGCCUUACUGAAGAGUAUGGCUGAGGGAUGUUGCCGUGGAUGAGGUGUGAGCUAGCUAAGGGUUGGCAAUUCCGAACAAUUCUGCCUGAUAACCUACUUACUGCCAGUGCCCAACUACAUCUGAUGCUGCGACUUCUUGGACAAAGCAAAAACUUUCUGCUGACUAACAUCUCCACUUUGCCCCAACCUGCUGGAUGCUCUGGGUGAAAAGGAGGCUUUAAAACCGUUAAAAGCAG